rnacentral:tRNA from 2 species
GCGGAAGUAGUUUAGUGUUUAGAACAUGCUUCUUCCUGAAGCAAGACAUAGGUUCAAAUCCUAUCUUCCGCUCCA